ACACUUCAUCAUCGACCUCAUCCGCGACCGUCCUCGAGGUCGGCCAUGGUGGUCUGGCCCGGCAACAGCCAUGGAAGGAGACGCCCGAAUCCCUGGCCCUCCAAGUACGCGCCUGCUGCAGGCCAUCUCCGGCGAGCUCAUCCACAGAUCUCCAACUAUGUUGCUCCGAUCUGGAAGAGGUGGUGGAGCUUUUGUUGUUGCUGCUGCAGGUGGACGAGGCACCACCCCCUCUUUCUACUUCUGGACACAACCUGGUGAAUUGCAUUAUGGAAAGAUGUGUGUGAGGUUACCCCAUCGCCACUGGUUCCAACUUUGUCCAUCAUGUCGCUCUGAUGAGAAGACCUCGUCCAUGUUUCAUUAAUAGGGCAGAGUGCUGCUGAAGUAUCUAUGUUGAACAAUUAUAACAGUACCAAGUAAGUUUGCUCCAAUUGCAUUUGAUGCAGAAGGCACAACACCGCCAUCAUGCGUCAGGUUCAGUAGAAGGCACGACACCGCCACGCUCUCCUCCACUACAACGCCACGCACCCGGUUGCUCCGAUGAGGACAAGCUGCUUCUGCAGGUGGAUGGGCCCUCAAGGCUGCUCUGCCUAUUCCUCCUGCUACCCCCACACGUGUUCUGAUCUCCUUUUUCUGCGGCUCCAUACAUCGAACACAAAGCCGUCGAUGCAUUGAGGGCUCAAUGUCGUCUCCGUCGGCUGAGCGGCAAGCCGGGGUUGGGCCUGCACACCGUCUAUCAGCACCCUCCCGCGUCUCCAUUCACGGAUCUGCAGAAUAUAGGUUUUAUGGUAACACGUCUUAGCCAACACCUAUACUGAUGCUCAGACCAGAUGAUUAUAGUCUCUCCUUGCUAUUUUUCUUGAGAUCUGAGGAAGGAGGGGAGGAAUAAUCUCGCGGGAGAGUUUGGUGCAGAGGAAGAAGAACAAGAUAUUAUUUAUUUCUUGUGAACAGUCAAGCUUGUGCAUUGUCCCACUUUCUGGGGCCAGGCAACCUUGAAUCCAACGUCCACCUGCAGGCUACAUCUCAGAAAACUCAUGAACAUCAUGGCGCCUUGUUGAUGGGGUGAUCAAUAGCUACUAUAUUGGGACCCUGCACUUAAAUUGGGAAAUUGCAAAGCAUAUUAUGAAUUGUUACAAGAAACUAUUUCCGCUGUUUUGGUGCAAGGAUGUUGCUUUUUAGUAUGCUUCCCGUAUCUUGGUAUCUUGGAAUAAUAAACAGAUAGAUGUCGUGUACCAAGAUUGUUCCUUGUUGUUAAGAGGGAUACAAAUAUUAUACAAGAAUUUUUCUGAUGACUCCUAAAGCAUAUUUGGAUAUAUAGCAAAGUAUAUUGUCGCUUCCCUGUUAGUAAAACGAUUAUGUUAGAAAUUUGGUUGGCAGCCCCUACAUUUGGCUGAUUGCUAGCUGACUGGAUUACUCAUGUUUGCGGACUCUGGUAACUUAUGCCUACCAAGAACUACAUGAAUUUUGUGUCUUGCUGCAGUGAACAUUACCAAACUAAUUCUAAAGGUGUUAUAAUCAUGUUUUCUUU